AUUGGCAUGUGAAAGACUUGGUUGAUUCGGUGGUAUUAGUAUUGAUAUAAAUAUUUAAUAUAAAAUUUUAUCUAUAUAAAUUCAUCUUUUUUAUUUCAUUAGACUGCUUCCCCACAAACUAAUCUUUUUCAUUCAAUAUUUAAAGUUGCGAAACACUUAUUUUUUUUAUUGUACUAUUUGAUUUAUGCUUUAGUUUCACUCAACGAAGAAGACUCUUGAAUUUUUAUUGAUUAUGUGAGAUGGUGCCGACAAGAGCCUAAACAGCCAUGUACGGACUUUGUAUUUCAUUUUCCAUCUUUAUUGUUAUGAAUAAAGUUUUAAGAAGGAUUUGUAUAUUGUAUUUUUCCUUCUUUGUUUAUUUUUUUGUGUUUCUAUCUAUUAGACUUCUUUAAUUUAAUUUUCUUUGAAUUUCAGAAGAAAGUCGUAUUUUUAUUCGGGCUCAAAUUUGUUAUUUGUAUCUUUAUUGAAAAUUUGCUAACUACUAAUCAAAGUUCACAAUUUACAGUUCAUUGCUUAAAAUUAGUAAUUAAUUUUAAACAUUAAAUUAGACCCUGAAUAUUUUCUUCUUGUCAUACUGAUAAAGAUUUAUUUGUAAUUGUUGCAUUUUAUUACUCAUUACAGAUCUAUUUUAAUAGAAAUUUAAUCAUUUUAAUGAAUAUAUAAAAAUUUACGUGGGACACAUGCAUUCUAGAAACCUCUCAAUGCCACUAUUCUUGAACAACUUGGAGUAAAUUAAUAAAUGUAGCACUACUUUCCCCACACAAUUGUAGAAGCAAGAGACUUGGCUGCGCACCUAAGAGACUUUGGCAUUUCUAAACUGAUCGGUGAAGAUGAGGAUGAUCUAUACAUAACAACCUUACCAACAUUGGGUUAUAUUCCGUCAGGUUUGACAGUAGAGUAUGGACUGGAUGGAUUAGUGU